ensembl:snRNA LOC120099032 U2 spliceosomal RNA
AUCGCUUCUCGGCCUUUUGGCUAAGAUCAAGUGUAGUAUCUGAUUUGGUCAUCCUUCGUGUGUUUAUGGCGGCAAUAUCCAAGAUGCGCCCACCUAGUAAAUUUCAGGUACACAGCAGAUAUUUUAAAGGGUAGUCUCCGUAAUUUACAUGGAUUCUCUUUUUUUAAUAUUAUUUAUUUAAUGUAUAUGAGUACACUGU